rnacentral:rRNA from 1 species
CGUAGGGUGCGAGCGUUAAUCGGAAUUACUGGGCGUAAAGCGUGCGCAGGCGGUUCGCCAAGCCAGGUGUGAAAUCCCCGGGCUUAACCUGGGAAUUGCGCUCGAAACUAGCGGGCUUGAGUGUGGCAGAGGGGGGUGGAAUUCCACGUGUAGCAGUGAAAUGCGUAGAGAUGUGGAGGAACACCGAUGGCGAAGGCAGCCCCCUGGGUCAACACUGACGCUCAUGCACGAAAGCGUGGGGAGCAAACAGGAUUAGAUACCCUGGUAGUCCACGCCCUAAACGAUGUCGACUAGGUGUUGGGGAAGGAGACUUCCUUAGUACCGCAGCUAACGCGUGAAGUCGACCGCCUGGGGAGUACGGUCGCAAGAUUA